ACAUGCCUACAACAUAGCGCUAAUCCACUAGAUACCAUUAGAACUCUGCAGUUAAGCAUGCUCAAGCUAGAGUAGUACUAGGAUGGGUGACCUCCCAAGAAUUCCUACUAUUUUACAUGCC
rfam:Picea glauca, whole genome shotgun sequence.